rnacentral:rRNA from 1 species
GACCGUCCCAGUUCGGAUCGCAGGCUGCAACCCGCCUGCGUGAAGUUGGAAUCGCUAGUAAUCGCGGAUCAGCAUGCCGCGGUGAAUACGUUCCCGGGCCUUGUACACACCGCCCGUCACACCAUGAGAGUCGGGAACACCCGAAGUCCGUAGCCUAACCGCAAGGGGGCGCGGCCGAAGGUGGGUUCGAUAAUUGGGGUGAAGUCGUAACAAGGUAUC